rnacentral:sRNA from 2 species
GAGGCACCUCGUUCGGUGAGGCGUCUUCACGGACACAGGCCACUGACCCCACGACGUCGAGAGACGCCCAGGUUCAGGACACCUCUCCCCGGCCUAAGGGGUGAGGCCAAGUGGCUUCCCACCCGGUUCAACGGCUGGGAUUACGCCGUGGAGUGCCAAAGCUCUGACGAGUUGGGGUGAGCC